UCUCAAAGAUUAAGCCAUGCAUGUCUCAGUAUAAGCUACUUAUACGGUGAAACUGCGAACGGCUCAUUAUAUCAGUUAUAGUUUCUUUGAUAGUGUUUUUUCUACAUGGAUACUUGUGGCAAAUCUAGAAACAAUACAUGCUUCCAAGCCUGACUUUUCGGAGAAGGGCUGCAUUUAUUAGACUUAAACCAAUAUCUUUUCGGAGAUUGUUUUGGUGAUUCAUAAUAACUAAGCGAAUCGCACUUUUAGGCGAUGAAUCAUUCAAGUUUCUGCCCCAUCAGUUGUCGAUGGUAGGGUAUUGGCCUACCAUGACUAUCACGGGUGACGGAGAAUCAGGGUUCGAUUCCGGAGAGGGAGCCUUAGAGACGGCUACCACAUCCAAGGAAGGCAGCAGGCGCGUAAAUUACUCAAUGUCAACUCGACGAAGUAGUGACGAGAAAUAACCAUGGGGAGCCAUUUUGGUUUUCCAAUGGUAAUGAGAGCAAUGUAAAAACCUCAUCGAGGAUCAAUUGGAGGGCAAGUCUGGUGCCAGCAGCCGCGGUAAUUCCAGCUCCUAAAGUGUAUACUAACGUUGUUGCAGUUAAAAAGCUCGUAGUUGAACUAUUGGUUUGGGUGUUUGUGGCUCUUUGAAUGUAAAUUCAUUGUAUUUGCUCUUACGCCUUGCCAUCUUGGUUUUACAUUUAUUGUAACACCUCUCUCAGUGUAAAAAUAUUGGGGUGCUCCGCGCAUAGUGUUUGUGGUCAGAAUAUCUCAAUGGGGAGAAGAUAAUAUAAGGUGGUGGCGCUAUUGUGGGGGUGUGCACUAUCACAGAGUGAUUAACGGGCACUGGUGGGGGGUACUCAUUUUUUAGAUGUCAGAGGAGAAACUUCGGAUAUUCUAGAGAGACGAACUAGUGCAAGAGCUUUCACCGGGAGAUGUUCUCAUUACUCAAGAACGAGUUUUGGGGAGAUCAGAUGAUGAUUAUAUCACCCUCAGUACUCAUCACCCGUAAAACUAUCGCACAAUUUGAUAAUUGCCAAGAUGUUUUAUUUGGAAAAUGUGGGGCCACCACCACGAGGAAAAAAACAAAACUUUUUUGGUUUUCCGGGGGGGGGAAUUUGGGGCCCCAAAAAGGGGGAAUUUUAAGAGGUUUUUUGCCGGGGGGGGCCCCCCCCGAAGGGGGAGGACCCCCCGGGGGGUUUAUUUUUUUCCCCCCCCCGCGGGAAAAUACUUUUCCCGGGCCCCCACCACCUUAGGGGGGGGGGGUUCGCAAAUAAGAAGGAACCCCUCCUUCCUUAAAUAUUUAAAGGGGGUGGGUGGGGCCCGGGAGGGGCGGUCUCCUUAUUUUUUUGUGGAGGGAAGAUUAUUUUAUUUCGGGGGGUAAAACUUUUUAUCUUUAUUUAAAAAAAAAAACCCACCCGCCCCCUCCCCACAAAAAAAAAAAAAAGGGUGUGUUUUGGGGGUAAAAUACAAAAAAAAAAAAAAGAAAUUCUUUCAUAGGAAGCGAAAGACUUAUAUCUGGGUGGUUUUUCUCCUCCCCAGGAAAAAGAGAAUUCACUGCGGGGGGCGUUAUAACACAAAAGCCCGCGUUUG
rnacentral:rRNA from 1 species